rnacentral:rRNA from 1 species
UACAGGGGGUGCAAACGUUGCUCGGAAUCAUUGGGCGUAAAGCGCACGUAGGCGGACUCUUAAGUCGGUGGUGAAAUCCUGGAGCUCAACUCCAGAACUGCCUUCGAUACUGAGAGUCUCGAGUCCGGGAGAGGUGAGUGGAACUGCGAGUGUAGAGGUGAAAUUCGUAGAUAUUCGCAAGAACACCAGUGGCGAAGGCGGCUCACUGGCCCGGUACUGACGCUGAGGUGCGAAAGCGUGGGGAGCGAACGGG